CGCAUCUGUGCAUGCAGCAUAUCAAUAAGCGGAGGAAAAGAAACUAACAAGGAUUCCCCUAGUAACGGCGAGUGAAGCGGGAAGAGCUCAAAUUUGAAAUCUUAAAGGGUUUCCCUUUACGAAUUGUAGUUUAAAGAAGUGUUUUCUGUUGAGGUUUUGGUAAAAGUUCUUUGGAAUAGGACAUCAUAGAGGGUGAGAAUCCCGUAUUUGACCUUUACUUUCAACUUUGUGAUACACUUUCAAAGAGUCGGAUUGUUUGGGAAUGCAGUCCAAAAUGGGUGGUAAAUUUAUCUAAAGCUAAAUAUUGGCGGAGAGACCGAUAGCGAACAAGUACCGUGAGGGAAAGAUGAAAAGAACUUUGAAAAGAGAGUUAAACAGUACGUGAAAUUGUCAAAAGGGAAGCGUUUGACACCAGUGUUGUUUUUCUGAAAAUCAAUUAAAGAACUGUUUAUGCUAAGUUGUUUAGACUUUAUCAGCUAACUGUUUAGUUUUGAGCUUUUCUUUAAUGCACUUUUCAGUUAACAAGUCAACAUCAAUUUCUUUUGCUGUAAAAAAGCUUGAGGAAGGUGGCUUGAGAUUCGUCUUAAGUGUUUAUAGCCUCUUGCCUAUGCAGUCGGAGAGAUUGAGGUCUGCAGCGUAGAUCCUUCGGGGCUAAAUGCAUUUGUGCUAAGUUAUAGCAUUUUAUAGACAACUUGUUGACUAUGAUUUGUCUUGUAGCUUACUCGCUUAUGUUAUUUUACCUACGCUUAGGAUGUUGAACGCGCACAGAGUCUC
rnacentral:rRNA from 1 species